rnacentral:rRNA from 1 species
UAAGGAAUAUUGGACAAUGGUCGCAAGACUGAUCCAGCCAUGCCGCGUGCAGGAAGACGGCCCUAUGGGUUGUAAACUGCUUUUGUACCAGAGAAAACCUAUCUACGUGUAGAUAGCUGAUAGUAUGGUAAGAAUAAGCAUCGGCUAACUUCGUGCCAGCAGCCGCGGUAAGACGAAGGAUGCAAGCGUUAUCCGGAUUCAUUGGGUUUAAAGGGUGCGUAGGUGGGUAUGUAAGUCAGUGGUGAAAUCCCCGAGCUUAACUUGGGAACUGCCAUUGAUACUAUAUAUCUUGAAUACCGUAGAGGUAAGCGGAAUAUGUCAUGUAGCGGUGAAAUGCUUAGAUAUGACAUGGAACACCAAUUGCGAAGGCAGCUUACUAUGCGGUGAUUGACACUGAGGCACGAAAGCGUGGGUAGCAAACA